rnacentral:lncRNA from 1 species
AUGUCAUCAUUUUAUUGGUUAUUUUUGCCACGUCAGGCGAGUGUAUUACACACACCCCAUGCCUGUUGCUGAUUAGGAAAAAAAUGUCCAAUUGAAAUAAAAUUCGGGGGGUUUAGGAGUUUGAUAGGUACAGACCUUAGUUUAGGGGUCUAAGUGAAUUUUCGAGACAAGUUUGAGGUCCUAUCGAUGGGUUUGGCUUAUGAAGAAUUAAUCCAUGUGAACG